UGGGAGAGGGCCCGGCCCGCCGCCAUUUUAGAGGCCGCGAGAAAGCGCCUCCCGGCGGGAAGGUCUGGCCUCUGCUUUCCCAAAGACCUAAGCCAGUGAAUCUGCAUCCAGAAAAACACUUAAGUAUUCAAGAAAAUAUUAUCAUCGACAGUGAAAAAAAUAAAGGCUGAAACACCUUUUUUGUAGUGCAGAACAACAUUAUUUGUUUUUUUUCUUUGUUUAUCAGCUUGUGACAUCCAGGCUAGAACUGGUAUUAGAGAACUGGUUAAUAUAGAAAAAUGGAAGAAAAAAUAUUAAAAGUCACUGCAGAGAGAAGUUUAGGUAACCAACCCAAUUGCAGCUACCUUGAGAUGCAUGGAUAAAAGGGAGUCUAUUAGGAUCUCUGUACACUAGGAAUACUGACCUGUUUUUGAUAAUUAUAGCCUUUUAAAUUAAUACAGAUUUCAAAUAUAGUAUAGCAAGACUGAAUGCAAUAAGUGCUUCAUGAAUGAAAAUUAUGUUAAAUUGACUAAGUGGGUGUUGGCCAGUUGAGAUAGUCACCUAAUAGUCUGAACAGUUUUUGUUUUCCCUUUAUUUGCCCAAGUCAUAAAAAGCAAAUAAUAAGAAGUAAUUAUCAGCACUACAGGGGUGUGAUAGCUAUUGAAAGAGGGGUAUGGACGGGAAGUGGAAAAAAACAGUAACAAGUGACACAACUAUACAAUAAUAGGGUUUGUGGAAGAAGUCAGUUUGACAUUGAGGGUUAAUAUUAGAUAUUGGAUCUGAGGGGGGAGCAAUUGUCAUGUCUAAAUGAUUCAUGUUGUAAAAGUAAUAAUAGUAAUUGGUUUAUUUUCACAGUGGAGCUGCCAGGAGAAGCCAACAUCUGCUGUGUGUGGUUCGUUUUUAAUCCCAUCUUUUCCCAGGGGGAAAAGUCGUGUGACCAAAUGGGAUUUUAUUAAUUUUUAAAAUAUAAUUUACACUGUGCUAUGUGUUUAUAUUGUGAAAUAAAGGUCAAAGUAUAGUAGUGUUGGGAGCAAGCAGUAGUGAAGUAUGCUGGAGUUCAUUCUAGUGCCUUGGUCUUCUGUGCAGACAAAAACAGUUUAGCUCUACCUAAGAAGUGAAGCAUCAGGCAUAGUGACUACCCAGGAACUUUAGGUAGUCCUUUAGGUAUUCUGAUCUCAAGCCACUGAGCUUUGAAGAUUGGGAUUUAGAUCUUAAAUUUGACAUGGUAUCCUAUGGGGAGCCAGUGCAGGGAGUGGAGGAUAGUUGUAUAAAAACCUGCAUCUUUGCAUGUUUUGUGUGCAUGUUUGUAGGUAUAUAUACCCAUAUGCUUAAAAGAGCAGUUCUUCAUAGAAUUUACGUAAAGGAAUAUUAUUCUUAAGCCCAUGCAAAAGAAGAAACAUUUAGUUAAUCUUGCCAUUUUUCUUAUUAACAGUAAUCCUAAAAAACCCUGUAAAUUGUAGCCUUUAUACAAGAACUCAAUGAGUUUUAAUUGCACACAAAGUUUGGAGAGUCUGCAUUAAUUUAUUUUUUUUUAAUAUUUUUAGGCAUAUAGAAUAGUUUGACAUACAGUGCUAAAUUUCUUAAGCUGUUUUUAAUGAGCUUUAACUCAAAAAAACUAUUGAAUUACUUUAUUGUGAAGUCUCAGAAAAUUAAUUCUGUAAUUUUAGGGAGAAUCUGUAUUCUAUUUAUGCAACAAUGGCAGAAUCCCCUUUUUAAAUGGAAAACUCAAAUGAAAUUUUAGAAGUGUGAUUAGUGCUUCCAUUAUAAAAGAUACUAUCUCCAAAAACACAUUGAGGAAUGCAUUAAGGUUUCAAGAUCAAACAGGCAAAGGCGCCGUCUACAUUUUAUAGGUAUUGUGCAAUGAACUGGCUCAUUACACAAUUACCUUGAGACCAGGUACACAUGCAAAGUACCUAGCACACCA